GUCUAAUAGCUCAGUUGGUAGAGCAUGAGACUUUUGAUCUCAGGGUCAUGAGUUCGAGCCCCACAUUGGACA